AGCUAUUGCCUAUUCGGGAAGAUCUUCGUCGUCUCUGCAAAGGUUUUGUUUUGUUUUAUGUUGUUUCCGAUGAAAUUUAAUUUAGGGUUCGUCUUGAUUUUGCAUAACCAAACCCCUUCUUUUGUGUUUGUUUUUUCUUCAGUUCUGGGGUUUGGUAGUUUUGUAAUUGUUGUUUUUUUUACCUUAGAUUUCGAUCGAACCCUUAAAAAGAUUAAAACUUUGACUUGGUUUUUCGUUAAGCAAAAUACAAAAUCCCUCGUUGUUUCUUUAGGGUUUCUGAUUGUAUUGUUUCUGCAAAUGAAAACAAAAAACCCUUUUUUGGAUUCGUGAUGUCAAAGUCGAAACCUUUUUGUUACAAAGAUUCAGAUUUUUGUUUUAUAAAAGGUUUGUAAAUCAAAAAAAGCCCUCUUUAAACUUGUGUUUUCGAUCUUAGGGUUUCCAAUUUCAGAACUUGUAAUUCAAAAGAAAGAUCGAUUUUUUCUUUUCUUCUUCGGUUUUAAAGUUUGAUGUUUUCUUGACAACCCAAAGGAAAGGGACUACACAUUAUAUGAUUGUGUUUGUCCGGUUUCUAACUUGGGGAAAUUGUCCGCGUCCGUAAAAAGGCUUGUCAAUACAUUCUCUACUGUCUUGCUGUGGCUGGGACAGCUUGACAGAAACUUCAAUCUCUGCUAAAAGAUCAGUCUUUGUUAAGACUUGGACUAUGAUGUCCUUAGAAAAAUUCAAUAUCUCUGCUUGAAAUUGUAUGGAGUUACAAUUCAAUAUUUCUGCUCAUUUGAUGGAGAGUAAAAAGUCCUUUGGACAAUGAUAUCGAAGAAAAUUCAAUACUCUGCUUAUACAAUGAUUCAAUGUUCUGCAAAAUUUGAUGGAGAAGAAAAAGAUACAGUCUGCAAGUAAGGGCUUGGUUAAUAUAUGGCUUGGCCUCAGAUGCAUGCUCAGUUGUAACAUUCAAUAUCUCUGCUCUUUAUCAUUGGACAAUGAUGUCCUGAGAAAAUUCAAUUAUCUGCUGAAACUAUUAUAUCAUUCAAUAUCUCUGCUGUAGAAAACUUCAGUCUCUGCUAAGUUCAGACUUGUACAGUCAUGUCUGGAGAAAUUCAAUGCUCUGCUUAAAAUAGAAAAUUCAAUGUUCUGCUAACUACUAAUGGAGAGAAAGAAAAAUGUUCUUAUAUAGGACUUGUGCUUGCUGGGGCUUGAUAACAGAAGCUAGAUGGUACUUGGGGCAGAGAUAUUACGUCUGUAAGUAAAAGCCUUUCAAAACUAUAUCCCAAGAUUGGAGACAUCAAUCUCUGCUUAUAUGAGUUCUACUGUCUUGCUGGGGCUGGGACAGCUUGAUAGAAACUCCAAUCUCUGCUAUGAUUAGCCUCUAUUAAGGCUUGGACAAUGAUGUCCUGAGAAAUUCAAUUCUCUGCUUAAGUUAUAGGGAGUGCAGUUCAAUAUUCUGCUAAUUUAAUGGAGAGUAAAAGUCCUUUUCAGGUUCCUUUUGUAAGAUUGGAAAGCUCAGUUUUGCUGAAGCUGGCAGCAUCGUUAACUUUCAAUAAUCUGCUAUAGAAAACUUCAGUUUCUGCUAAGAUCAGACUUGUACAUUGUUGUCUGGAGAAAAUUCAAUUAUCUGCUUAAACUAGAAAUUCAUAUUCUGCAAACUGAUGGAGAGAGUAUUAUAUUCAAUAUUCUGCAAUUUGAUAGGAGAAUAAAAGUCCUCAAGCUAUCUACAAAAAACAGUGUUCGUAAUUUCCUGCACAGCCUCUAUAUAUUGGACAUAAAAGUAAUUCAGAAGAUACAACAUGCAGAUUGUAUCUUUUCCUCUUUUAAUCAGGUUCGUGUCUCUUCCCUCCCCUCUUAAAAAAAGCUUCAAAAGCAAGGACUGGAAUGCGUACAUAAUCUUUCUCAGGUUUGACUUCUCUUCUUCGGUUUUCAAUAGCAUUGUGUUAUUGGUUGUGUUUGAAUUGUUGUAGCGGUACGGUUGUGGGAGACUCUAGCUCUUUGAUAACUACUGGUGCACAAUAGGAUUAGCUGAACGAACAGGUAUGUUUUUGAAUCGUAUAAUUUUUUGUUUCAGUAACUUUUUUGUCUAUAAAACUUUGGUUUCUCUAUAUAUUGCUUCUGCUGCACAACAGGAUUAGCUAUUUGUAGUAGUAGCAUGACUUUGUCUAAGUUUUGAGUUCAGACACUAUAGCAUUGGAGUCUUUUUUGAUUGUUGUAGUAGAGACAGUGUCUGAUCCUCAACCGGAAAAAUUUAGCCAGCUUUUGAUCAGGGGCAUGACUGGAUUUUGGGAGCCUUCUGGUGCACGUCGUUUUCAACACUCCUCUUUCCAAGUGGAUUGUUUGCUUAAGGAUUAAAUAAAACCUCAACUAAGCUGUUCAUAUCUCUAAUGCUAACAUACAAAC